GACCUGGUGGUGAAAUGCAUCAUGUCCACUUUCCCUGGAUCUUGUUGGAAUAGUGUAUUUGUGGGAGGUCCCCGGUUUGAAUCCGGGCCAGGUCA